rnacentral:rRNA from 1 species
CUACGGGGGGCACCAGGCGAGAAAACUUUGCAAUGUGCGAAAGCACGACAAGGUUAAUCCGAGUGUUUUCUGCUAAAGAAAUCUUUUGUCAGUCCUAAAAACACUGAUGAAUAAGGGGUGGGCAAGUUCUGGUGUCAGCCGCCGCGGUAAAACCAGCACCUCAAGUGGUCAGGAGGAUUAUUGGGCCUAAAGCAUCCGUAGCCGGCUCUGUAAGUUUUCGGUUAAAUCUAUACGCUCAACGUAUAGGCUGCCGGGAAUACUGCAUAGCUAGGGAGUGGGAGAGGUAGACGGUACUCGGUAGGAAGGGGUAAAAUCCUUUGAUCUAUUGAUGACCACCUGUGGCGAAGGCGGUCUACUAGAACACGUCCGACGGUGAGGGAUGAAAGCUGGGGGAGCAAACCGGAUUAGAUACCCCCGUAGUC